UACGGAGGGUGCAAGCGUUUAUCCGGAUUCACUGGGUUUAAAGGGUGCGUAGGCGGUUCGGUAAGUCGGGGUGUGAAAAACUCUGGGCUCAACCCGGAGACGCCACCCGAUACUGCUGUGACUUGAGUCUGGUAGGGGGAGCACGGAAUUCCUGGUGUAGCGGUGAAAUGCACAGAUAUCAGGAGGAACACCGGUGGCGAAGGCGGUGCUCUGGGC
rnacentral:rRNA from 1 species